rnacentral:tRNA from 1 species
GGGGCUGUAGCUCAGAGGUAGAGCACUUGCCUAGCAUGUGUGAGGCACUGGGUUCGAUCCUCAGCACCA